rnacentral:rRNA from 1 species
UGCAAGUCGAACGGAGUAGCAAUACUUAGUGGCGGACGGGUGAGUAACGCGUGAGAAUCUACCCUUGAGAUGGGGACAACAGAGGGAAACUUCUGCUAAAACCCAAUAAGCCGGAAGGUGAAAUAUUAAUAGCUCAAAGAAGAGCUCGCGUCUGAUUAGCUAGUUGGAAGUGUAAAGGACUCCCAAGGCGACGAUCAGUAGCUGGUCUGAGAGGAUGAGCAGCCACACUGGGACUGAGACACGGCCCAGACUCCUACGGGAGGCAGCAGUGGGGAAUUUUCCGCAAUGGGCGCAAGCCUGACGGAGCAAUACCGCGUGAGGGAGGAAGGCUCUUGGGUUGUAAACCUCAGAAAUUAGGGAAGAAAAAAAUGACGGUACCUAAAAUAAGCAUCGGCUAACUCCGUGCCAGCAGCCGCGGUAAUACGGAGGAUGCAAGCGUUAUCCGGAAUCAUUGGGCGUAAAGAGUCCGUAGGUGGCAUGAGAAGUCCGCAGUCAAAGACAGAAGCUCAACUUCUGAAAGGCAGUGGAAACUAGCAAGCUAGAGUGCGAGAGGGGUAAAGGGAAUUCCCAGUGUAGCGGUGAAAUGCGUAGAGAUUGGGAAGAACACCUGUGGCGAAGGCGCUUUACUGGAGCGACACUGACACUGAGGGACGAAAGCUAAGGGAGCGAAAGGGAUUAGAUACCCCUGUAGUCUUAGCAGUAAACGAUGGAUACUAGGCGUAGUCUGUAACCAAUCAGGCUGUGUCGAAGCUAACGCGUUAAGUAUCCCGCCUGGGGAGUACGCACGCAAGUGUGAAACUCAAAGGAAUUGACGGGGACCCGCACAAGCGGUGGAGUAUGUGGUUUAAUUCGAUGCAACGCGAAGAACCUUACCAAGACUUGACAUUCGGCGGAUUUUGAGGAAACUUGAAAGUGCCUAAGGGAGCGCUGAAACAGGUGGGUGCAUGGGCUGUCGUCAGCUCGUGUCGUGAGAUGUUGGGUUAAGUCCCGCAACGAGCGCAACCCUCGUCCUUAGUUGCCAAUAUUAAGUUAGGAACUCUAGGGAGACUGCCGGUGACAAACCGGAGGAAGGUGGGGAUGACGUCAAGUCAGCAUGCCCCUUACGUCUUGGGCUACACACGUACUACAAUGGUAAGGACAAAGGGCAGCGAACUCGAAAGAGCAAGCGAAUCUCAUCAAACCUUACCCCAGUUCAGAUUGUCGGCUGCAACUCGCCGGCAUGAAGUAGGAAUCGCUAGUAAUCGCCGGUCAGCAUACGGCGGUGAAUCCGUUCCCGGGUCUUGUACACACCGCCCGUCACACCAUGGAAGUUGGUCACGCCCGAAGUCAUUACUUCAACCCGAAAGGGAGGAGGAUGCCGAAGGUGGGACUAGUGACUGGGGGUGAAGUCGUAACAAGGUAGCCGUACCGGAAGGUGUGGCUGGAUCACCUCCUUA